CAUAAUCUGAAAUGUACGCGUUGUCUCAUAAUGUAAAGUUGACCGAACGCCUAUAUACCUUGGCUUUUGAAAUAUUCAUUAGCUAACAAGCCCUUUUAGGGAAGUUAAAAAAUGAAUUAUCAUAAACCACUUACUUGAACUUGCGGGUUCAACUACAGAGACGAUUAACGGCAUUAGACGGAUUCCAA
rnacentral:other from 1 species